rnacentral:rRNA from 1 species
UACGAAGGGGGCUAGCGUUGUUCGGAUUUACUGGGCGUAAAGCGCGCGUAGGCGGCUCGGACAGUCAGACGUGAAAUUCCUGGGCUCAACCUGGGGGCUGCGUUUGAUACGUGCGGACUUGAGUGCGGAAGAGGGUCGUGGAAUUCCCAGUGUAGAGGUGAAAUUCGUAGAUAUUGGGAAGAACACCGGUGGCGAAGGCGGCGACCUGGUCCGAUACUGACGCUGAGGCGCGAAAGCGUGGGGAGCAAACAGG